rnacentral:tRNA from 1 species
GGCGGUGUAGCUCAGCUGGCUAGAGCGUACGGUUCAUACCCGUGAGGUCGGGGGCUCGAUCCCCUCCACCGCCA